rnacentral:tRNA from 1 species
GGUAAGGUGACUGAAUCUAGGUGAUAGACUGUAAAUCUAUUUAUGGGGAUCUCUUCCCCCCUUACCA